ensembl:lncRNA
CCUCCACUGAGACCUCACGGAAGUGCCAGUGUAGAGACUUGUAGCAAAGAGGUCAAUACUGCAAAAAGAAGUGGGGCCCAUCUUGCAAUUAAAGGAAGAGGCUCUCCUGCAGAGAAGGUCUGCAUCAAGAAAAUCUAAGCCCUUUCUGAAUACGCAUGCUUUUGAUGCAGCACUGACAGGAGUAGCAAGAGGGCUGGAAUUUGUCUUUUUGGCCCAGCAUGAAGCAAGAAAAGCAUGUACUGCCAUGCACAAGACAGAAGAGCUAUUGCUUCUCCCUACAGCACCAGCUGUAGAGAUCUUUUCCUGCAUUCAGGAGAUACCUUCAUCUGUCUGCGUGCGACUGCCAACCUGAGGAAUGGAAGGAAAAAUGAGUCUGCCUCUGACUACUUGUUCCCAUGGCAGAGCAGACCUGGAGGUUAUCCCAGCCACUGCUGCAACGUUACAGGUCUCAGGAGCACUGAGCUGCCGCGGCCACAGCGAGCACUGCUUACCAGAGACCGCCACGUUCGUUCCUACUGAAUCCGCUUGGAAAAACUGCUGCUGGGAGGGGACGUCAGCUGUAAAUGCUACCAGGGGCGCUUGGAGAAAGAAGGGAGACCCUGAUUUGAGCUUCCCAGGGUUUUGUGGAUCACCGUCAAACUCAUUUCCUCCAGACUUCACUUAAAAAAGAAUUCUCUGGAAACUGAUGUUUGUGCACCCACAGUUCUGAAAUUCUAGCAAGAAAGAUGUAGCCCAGGCGUUGUUGCUGCUGUUGCACUUGUUCCUGCUCCUUUUACAUCUUCCUCUCUGCUUCCCUGUCUACUCGACAAGUAAUUCCACACAGGUAUGCAUGGUCUUGCACUCUCCCCACUAAUUUUUUAGAGUGGUUUAUGGGCUCAUGGAAAUUUGGAUCAUUAUCACAGGCCUGAAAUUUCCACUAAGUUUCGUGAUUUUUGUGAACAGUGUGAACCACCUCCUCAGACCAGCUUACAGCAAAGCCUAGUAGGGUGCCCACAAGCGCCAGCAGGGCGUGCAAAUCAGUCCCGCAGCAGCUGCAGGGAGAGGCAGUCUGCUGCGGGAGCUGGGGGAUGCUGGGUGCUUGGCAGGUGCUGAAAUGUUUAAGAGAGAGAGGAUUCAUGCAAUAUGCUUCAGUUCCAAUCAGAGCUGUCCUCUCCCACCAUGAUCAGGGGUCAGUUAGGAGCCAAGGAGUCUCAGUGAUGAGUGAAGCCCCUAAAGGGACCGGUAUUGCUGAUGUUUGGAUGCCUUAAUACCCCAGCCCCAAAUUGCAAGGUCCCCAUCUACAACUUGGGUSGCUUGGUAGACCUGACUUGGGCUGGGUUCAUUUUUGCAACAUGUAACUGGAAAAAAUCAAUUGUUUUUCAUCUUUCUCUUUGAAACCAAAUAUACAAUUUCUGCCACUCCACAACUUAAGUGCCUGAUUCCUCUCUGAUCCGUACCACUUUACUCCUGCGUAAGACUCUGUUGAAUACAAUAGUGUUCCUAAUUCCCAUGGUAGCAAUACGGUCCAGAAAAUAGUCAUGAUCCUCCCUGGUCUGUUCCUGGCUUUGGCCUCCACUGUGGGAACCUGACUCACAGUGGAGCUUAAUAUACAAUUAUUGGGCUUAAUAUAUGAUUCAGCCAGUAAAAUUCCUUCAGACUGUGAAAACCAGAAGCCAGCUGUCUUCAGUAUUCAUCCCCGUGUGGUUUUGGCAUUUUGCUGGAGGUUCACUGAUGUGACAACUGGUGCGUUUCCAAAAAGCCCUUUUCCCAUUUUCAGCAGUCUUGUGUUCUGAAGCUAUCUAGUGAAAACGGAGUAUAAAAUUCAUAGUUGAAGAAAAAAAGUCACUUAAAUUGGUCCUUUCCAAGGUUUUGAGACUGUCUGUGAGUCAUCAGUCCAGCAUAAGAAAACUCAGCAUUUUAUCUUCAGCUUAAGCAUGCUUGCAAAUCAGAAGAGUUUUAUUGGAGCUUGGGUGCUAGAAAUUGGGCCUAGUUUGAAAUCUGGAACAUGGAAAACACCCUGGUACCUUGAGCUGCCCACUUUGCGAGGCUGAACUGAAAAAGGUGAUCCAAACCUUUCUGGACACUGGAGAUGUCUGGAGCCAGGCUUCGUUGGUCAUAUCAUGGCAUGUCUGGCUUGUGAUCUGGACUGAGAAAUAGGGGGCUGUGGGGAAGGGAGAAGGGAGACACUGGCACCUCUUUCCCUGAGAGAAGCAGCAAGCUUUGUCACGGUGCUCAGGACAGCAGCGGGAGACACUGCCAGCUGAACAACAUCCCUACAGGGGCAUGAACUGCUGCUCAGCCAGGCAUGGUGAGCCCUGUCUCUGCCUGGCGAGGCUUGCUGCUGACUGCAGCAAGCUCCAACCAAGGACAUCCUGUUUCUCCCCAAGAAGAGGCAAAGUACUUUCCUCAGCACAUUCCCCUUGCCCACCAUGCAGCAUCUUGUUUGCACAAGCUUCUGCUGUCUGUCUGUCCCUCUACUCUUACUAGGCAAUGCCUUUGGUUUCCUUUCUCUUACUAGCCAGGGCAAGAUUUAGCCAGGCGACUCUGGUCUAUAUGCCACUGGUUGAGCAGAAUGAAAACUCUGCUCUCAGAGUCCUCUCUGGUAUCACAGAUUGUGGCAUUCAGGAGAAGAAACUGGGAGUUUGCUCAGACAUGGCAGCUGAAAACAGGUAAACUGCAAAUGAAUGAGUUAGCUUACUUUGAGAAGUUGCUGCCCCCCCCCCCCCCCCCCCCCCCCCCCCCCCCCCCCAUUUUGGAAGCUGUUGCUUUGUCAGCUGAGAGGCAGAGUAGUCACGUGUGUGCCAGGCUGUUCUCUGCAAAAUAAAACAGCUGUGCUUGAACCA